UGCUCCACCUCCGGGGCCCCACUCUCUUCGUUGCGCCCCCACCACGCCCCGCGUCCGCGCCUCCCCUGCCUCCUCAACUCCUCGUCAUCGUCGGUUCCCCUGUGUGCCUCCCUCGCCGCCGCCACCGCCAGGGGCGGUUCCCUACUCUGCCUCCCCCACCACGCCUCCCACAUCGCGCCGCCCCCAUCGCCGCGCCCCCACAACGCCUCCACCGUCGGCGCCCCCAUUGCGAUACCCCUGAGCUCUGCAACGCCGCCGACCGCCGCUCUUGCUCGCUCUCAUCUACGACGCCGCCGUCACGCCCCUCUCUUCGCUGUGCUGCCUCCCUCCCCCACGUCCCCAUCCCCUCCUCGCCGCGCCACUUCCCCAUCUGCCGCCCCGCCUGCUUGCCUCCCCGGCGUCCCCAUCCCUUCCUCGCCACGUCGCUUCCCCAUCCGCCGCCCCCGCUGCGCGCCUCACGCAGCAACCCCGCAGCGGAACCCACCGGCGAGCUAACCGCCGUCCCGGCAGGUCGCCGUCAAUCGCCGUCGCCCCGCAGGUCGGCGUUGCACUGCAGAGGGAUUUCCCCGCUGAACGGUCGCCGCAGCAGGUCUACGCCACCUUCUUCCCACGCCGACUCCGUGUCUAAUCCCUACCUCACCACAGUUUCAACUUGUGGUUCCAGCUGAAGCAAUUGGAGAUUUAUUAAAUCUAAGGCUACAUGCUAGGCUGCUAUGAGGUUGCCAUAUAGGCAUGCUAAAAAACCGUCAGGAAGUGUACAAGCUUACAAGCUGUAAAUAAACGGAAUGAAGAGCAAUAGAUCAUCUGUUAGGUUGCCUUCGGUUUUGAACAAGCGCUAUAAGGUGGUCGAAGAAAUUCUAUUAUUUUAUUUACCAUUGAUUGGCUAUCUGUUGAUGCUUUUAUUAUUCAACCAAACUGGUGGAGGAGCCAAGGUCACAGUAAUCUUAUUAAAGGUAGUACGUACUUAUAGAACUUCCAUUUUCAUCGGUACAUGUGAGCGUGAGCUUUAAUAAUGUAUUCCAUGAUGAAAUGUAUUCCAUAGCAUUAGGAUUGGAUGCUACAGGGAGACAAAUCUCGGCUGUGUCAUAUAUUCCAUGAUGCAAAGUUGAUGUUGGCUAUUGUCUCGGCGUUUCGAAUAAAGAAGAUUGUUAGAAGAGAAUGUAAUGGUGUAGCUUCUUUGGGCAUGAUGUACAAGAACUUUUAACUCAACUGAUUUAAGCGAAUGAUGUAUUUCUUUUACUCCAUUCAAUGUAUGUUGACGUGCAAGGCACGUGCACGCUAACUAGUUAUAUUAUAAUGUGGUUGAUUUUUUUUAUGAGACGGAGGAAAGUACUUGUUUGUCGCAUGAUUAGAUGUGGCAUUCA